AAAAGUAAAACAACUCUAUACGAUGGAUAUCUUGGCUCUUGAAUCGAUGAAGAACGCAGCGAAAUGCGAUAAGUAAUGCGAAUUGCAGAACUCUGUGAGUCAUCAAAUCUUUGAACGCAUAUUGCACUUCCUUUUGGGAGUAUACUUGUUUGAGUGUAGUUAAAGGUUUCUAUCUAUAAUAGAUGAAUAUUGGAGUUAGUAUACUAUACUUUCUCUAAAAUGAAUAUAUUCGUAUAUAAGAAUAGUAUUUGAGGUAGUUGCCACAAGUACUAUAUUAUAUAAGAAUAUAUUUAAUAAGAUCUAUCUCAAAUCAAGUAAGAUUACCUGCUGAAUUGAAGCAUCUAAGUAAGCAGAGGAAAAGAAAAUAACAAUGAUUCUCUUAGUAACGGCGAGUGAAUAGGGAAUAGCCCAAGCUUAAAUCAGCUUUGCUGAGUUGUAGUGUGUAGAAUCUAACUUUUGUUCAGUGUUAAUAUCAUAUAAUUUGGUUGGAAAACCAAGUAAUAGAAGGUGAUAACCCUGUAAUAUGAUAUGACUGAAUGUUGGAUUCUUGGAGUCGAGUUGUUUGGGAAUGCAACUCGAAGUGGGUGGUGAACUCCAUCUAAGGCUAAAUAUGUUCAAGAGACCGAUAGUGAACAAGUACCGUGAGGGAAAGAUGAAAAGAACUUUGAGAAAAGAGUGAAAUAGUACUUGAAAUCGUAUAGAGGUUAAGCAGAGUUGGUGGAUAUUGUAUUUGAAUGUACUAUAAUCAAUUGAUUAUGGCUUAUUCUUAUACAUAGUAUAAUUUGUGUGUGAAUUGGUUAAUAUUAAAACGAAUAUGCGCAUAAAUGAUAUAAAUCCUACAUCUCUGUCCCGUCUUGAAACACGGACCAAGGAGUCUAUCCUGUAUGCAAGUUGUAUGGUGUAAAACCAAUAAGCGUAAUGAAAGUAAGAGGUGUGAAAGUUGUAAAAGUGUCAACACCUGCCGAUCUAAAUUCUUUGAUGAAAGAUUCGAGUAUGAGCAUAUAGGGUGGGACCCGAAAGAUGGUGAACUAUGCCUGAAUAGGACGAAGCCAGGGGAAACUCUGGUGGAGGUUCGAGUGGAUUCUAACGUGCAAAUUGAUCUUUAAAUUUGGGUAUAGGGGCGAAAGACUAAUCGAACCAUCUAGUAGCUGGUUCAUUCCGAAAUUUCCCUCAGGAUAGCUGCAACUUAUGAAAUAGUUUUAUGAGGUAAAGCGAAUGAUUAGAGGUUUCUGGGAUGGAAUAUCCUGGACCUAUUCUCAAACUUUCAAUGGGUAAGAAAAGUGUGAUGUUUAAUUAAUCAUACUAUUUGAAUAUGAGUUGCAAGUGGGCCAUUCCGGGUAAGCUGGACUGGCAAUGCGGGAUCAACCGAACGCUAUGUUACGGCGCCAGAUUGUUCGCUCAGUUGGAUGUAAAAGGUGUUAGUUCAUCUAGACAGCAGGACGGUGGCCAUGGAAGUCGGAAUCCGCUAAGGAGUGUGUAACAACUCACCUGCCGAAUGAAGUAGCCCUGAAAAUGGAUGGCGCUUAAGCGAACAGCCUAUACAUAGCCAUUAUUGUUAGGAUUAUACAAUAAUGAGUAGGAAUGCGUGAUGAAUGUUGUGAAGUAUGAUGUGUGAACAUGUAUGGAACAUUCAUUAGUGCAGAUCUUGGUGGAAGUAGCAAAUAUUCAAAUGAGAUCUUUGAAGACUGAAGUGGAGAAAGGUUCCAUAGGAAUAGUGAUUAUCUAUGGGUUAGUCGAUCCUAAGAGAUAGGUGAAAUCCAUUGAAAAGUCAAUUUCGAUUGACAUUUAUCGAAAGGGAAUCAGGUUAAUAUUCCUGAACCAAAGAGAAGGGUAAACGGUAACGUAUAGGGGUCUCAAGACAUUGAUGUUAUUCCCAGGAAGAGUUUUCUUUUCUUGUUAACAAAUGGGCAGUGCUUGGAAUCGAUUCAGUCGGCGAUAAGCAUUGUUAUUUGGUAAAGUACUACUAUUUUGUGUAGUAUCUGGUGCAAUGACAUGAAUCCUUGAAAAUUGAGACUUUUGUUUUCCCGAAGCUUUGGUCGUACUAAUAACCGCAUCAGGUCUCCAAGGUGAAUAGCCUCUAGUUAAUAGAAUAAUGUAGAUAAGGGAAGUCGGCAAAUUAGAUCCGUAACUUCGGGAUAAGGAUUGGCUCUGAGGGCUAAGUGGGUUUAAGGUGUUAAUAGUAUAAGUUUGAUAUGGGAUUGAGUGUUUUGAGUUGCUUCGGUGAUUUGAAAUAUUUGGUUCUAAUGUCUUAGUUGUCUAUUUUCAUCUACCACUAUGAAUAGCUAACUCAGAACUGGUACGGACAAGGGGAAUCCGACUGUUUAAUUAAAACAAAGCAUUGUGAUGGUGUGAAAGAUAUGUUGACACAAUGUGAAUUCUGCCCAGUGCUCUGAAUGUGAAAGUGGCGUAAUUCAAGCAAGCGCGGGUAAACGGCGGGAGUAACUAUGACUCUCUUAAGGUAGCCAAAUGCCUCGUCAUCUAAUUAGUGACGCGCAUGAAUGGAUUAAUGAGAUUCCCACUGUCCCUAUCUACUAUCUAGCGAAACCACAGCCAAGGGAACGGGCUUGGAAAUAUCAGCGGGGAAAGAAGACCCUGUUGAGCUUGACUCUAGUUUAACAUUGUGAAAUGACUUUAGAGGUGUAGCAUAGGUGGGAGGAGGUAACUCCGAUCCUGAAAUACCACUACUCUGAAUGUUGUUUUACUUAUUCCAUGAAAGAGGAUACUUACUUAAUUGUAAGUGUUAUGAUGUAAACUUUGGUGACCUCUUUGGGAGACAUUGUUAGGUGGGGAGUUCGGCUGGGG
rnacentral:rRNA from 1 species